rnacentral:rRNA from 1 species
CCUACGGGAGGCAGCAGUGGGGAAUAUUGGACAAUGGGCGAAAGCCUGAUCCAGCAAUGCCGCGUGAGUGAUGAAGGCCUUAGGGUUGUAAAGCUCUUUUACCAGGGAUGAUAAUGACAGUACCUGGAGAAUAAGCUCCGGCUAACUCCGUGCCAGCAGCCGCGGUAAUACGGAGGGAGCUAGCGUUGUUCGGAAUUACUGGGCGUAAAGCGUACGUAGGCGGUUAUUCAAGUCAGAGGUGAAAGCCCGGGGCUCAACCCCGGAACUGCCUUUGAAACUAGAUAGCUAGAAUCUUGGAGAGGUUAGUGGAAUUCCGAGUGUAGAGGUGAAAUUCGUAGAUAUUCGGAAGAACACCAGUGGCGAAGGCGACUAACUGGACAAGUAUUGACGCUGAGGUACGAAAGCGUGGGGAGCAAACAGGAUUAGAUACCCUGGUAGUCCACGCCGUAAACGAUGAUAACUAGCUGUUCGGGCACUUGGUGCCUGAGUGGCGCAGCUAACGCAUUAAGUUAUCCGCCUGGGGAGUACGGUCGCAAGAUUAAAACUUAAAGGAAUUGACGG